rnacentral:snoRNA from 1 species
UGGUCAUUCCAAAGAAGUCUGCUGAGGCUGUGAAACCCAAGAGCUCUUAACACUAUGACCAAAGAUUGGAGUUCUCCAUAGGUUGCCAUAGUAGCUCAAGAGUGCUAGUUUUCCGAUACCCAAUUGGUGUUAUUCCC